GAUGAACGCUGGCGGCGUGCUUAGCACAUGCAAGUCGAACGGAAAGGCCAGUGCUUGCACUGGUACUCGAGUGGCGAACGGGUGAGUAACACGUGGGUGAUCUGCCCUGCACUUCGGGAUAAGCCUGGGAAACUGGGUCUAAUACCGGAUAGGACAAUGGUUUGGAUGCCGUUGUGGAAAGUUUUUUCGGUGUGGGAUGAGCUCGCGGCCUAUCAGCUUGUUGGUGGGGUAAUGGCCUACCAAGGCGUCGACGGGUAGCCGGCCUGAGAGGGUGUACGGCCACAUUGGGACUGAGAUACGGCCCAGACUCCGACGGGAGGCAGCAGUGGGGAAUAUUGCACAAUGGGCGCAAGCCUGAUGCAGCGACGCCGCGUGGGGGAUGACGGCCUUCGGGUUGUAAACUCCUUUCGCUAGGGACGAAGCGUAUUUGUGACGGUACCUGGAGAAGAAGCACCGGCUAACUACGUG
rnacentral:rRNA from 1 species